CGAAAUGCGAUAAGUAGUGUGAAUUGCAGAAUUCAGUGAAUCAUCGAAUCUUUGAACGCACAUUGCGCCCCUUGGUAUUCCAUGGGGCAUGCCUGUUCGAGCGUCAUUUGUACCCUCAAGCUCUGCUUGGUGUUGGGUGUUUGUCCCCGUCUCCGCGCGUGGACUCGCCCCAAAGUGAUUGGCAGCCGGCGUACUGGUCCCGGAGCGCAGCACAUGUCGCGCAAACGAGUGCCUUGGUACGGCGGCGUCCAUAAGCCCCUCUCUCAUGCUCUUGACCUCGGAUCAGGUAGGGAUACCCGCUGAACUUAAGC
rnacentral:misc_RNA from 1 species